rfam:Camelus ferus unplaced genomic scaffold scaffold1677, whole genome shotgun sequence.
GAGGGUAUAGCUCAAGUGGUAGGGUGCAUGCUUAGCACACACAAAGGCCUGGGUUCAAUCCCCAGUACCUCUU